AAUGAACGUUGGCGGCGUGGAUUAGGCAUGCAAGUCGCGCGAGAAGUCAUUUAGCUUGCUAAAAGGCGGACAGCGGCGGAAGGGGGAGUAACGCGUGGUUAUGUACCCUCGAGACCGGGAUAGUGUCGGGAAACUGGCAGUAAUACCGGAUAACAUCUUCGGAUCAAAUGGUGUGAUUCCGCUCGAGGAUCGGACCGCGUACUAUUAGCUAGUUGGCGGGGUAAUAGCCCACCAAGGCUUAGAUGGUUACCGGGUGUGAGAGCAUGGCCCGGCUCACUGGGACUGAGACACUGCCCAGACAUCUACGGAUGGCUGCAGUCGAGAAUCUUCGGCAAUGGACGAAAGUCUGACCGAGCGACGCCGCGUGCGGGAUGAAGGCCCUCGGGUUGUAAACCGCUGUCAGUUAGGAGGAAAUCCAUGAGGGUACUCUCUCAUGGUUGACCGAUUUUCAGAGGAAGGACGGGCUAAGUUCGUGCCAGCCGCCGCCGUAA
rnacentral:rRNA from 1 species